rnacentral:lncRNA from 1 species
GGUAAUCCACAUUCUACGAUCUUUUUCUUUCCUUUCCUUUGCAGAGAAUCAACACUUUCCUUUGAUAGAAUAUUCCUUUGCACACCUUGUUGACCAGUAGACAUGUUAUGUGAUUCCCCUUCUUGCCCAAUUAGGGCCUUAAAUCUUGAGCCGGAUUUUCUAGACGUUGAUGGCGAUUCUGUAGGACUUUCCUUCUUUUGAUUUCUGCGAGGUCUAUGUUGGGCAUGGAUCCAGGGACCAUAUUGACCCGACCAGUCAGUUGCAAGCGAGACCUCCAAUGUCUCUCCAUGGCGGUUAGCCAUAUUUUCCUCCAUACUCCUUUUGUUAGGGCACAUGACUUGACUAUGUCCAACAAUUCCACAUUCAAAACACACUUGAGGUUCGUAUUCAACUUUUUGCAUGAAUCAUUCAGACUGGUGAGCAAAGGUUUCUUCAAGUUCGACUGCGACACGCGCAAACUGCUCUCUAUUUGCUAGUUGAGUAUUCAUAUCAACUGUAAUUGUUUUCCUAACAACGUUGCCAAUUGUCUCUAAAAUUUGCUCAUACUAGUACUGCAUUGACAUCUUUGGAAGUCUGACCCAAGACAUCAUUGAGGAAACCACUGCAUUGGUUGCCCAAAAUUUCAGAAUCCAUUCUUGUACAGUUAAGUAAUGGCCAAGAAUAGUCCAAGGACCAUCCAAAAUUAUGUGUUCCAAAUCCUCCUUAAGGGCUAGUUUAAUCAAGAAAAAUCCAUUGUCAAGAUCAAUAACUUUGUAAUGACCUCGCAGCUUCCAGAUAGUCAUGAUUCCAUUGCAUAAAUUUUAUAACCCAAAGGUCUACCCCAUAAUUUAACUACAAUGAAGUUCUCCCGUUGCGAAACUCAUUUGAUAACAUGAUACUAGGACCAGAAGGCUCCAAAUGGACUAUAAUAUCACCUUAAAUUCAAUAUAAAAAAUUAUAUCAAAAUACAUCUCAUCCGGGUUCACUAGAAGGCUUUCUUUAUAAGUCUUCAGGGCAUUAUCCUCCAUAUCCAUAUCUUGCUGAUGCUCAAUGUUUUGAUCUGAAUCCAUACAUGAAUUCUCCAUAUUGAUAUUACUGUGAAACUUGACUUUCAUAGUAGGGCGGUCUUCGUUAGACAGGAGAGGAAGGUUUUCCUCAAGAGAAUUUUCCAUCCCACUUUUACUAGUUUUUUUUUCUUUCUCUAUUACUUUCCUCUACUCUUUUUCCUUCCCAUUCCCCUGUAAUUUCUAAAUCCUAAUCAAUGCUCAUUGCACAAACACGUCUUAUCAAUUAUAGUACGAGGUAAUUACUAUAUAAGAUUUUUUUUUUCUUUUAUAUAACUUAUAGACAAUACCAAUUAUAUAGUAACAUAUAAUACUAAUUAUGUAGUGAUAUAUGAUACCAACUAUAUAGUGAUAUGUGAUAUUAUCUACCGAUAACAUGGUAUUAUAUGUUUUUUUAUAUUUUUUAUAUUGGCGUUAUUUAUCUCUUAAUAUUUUAAAUUUAUAUUUUUUUAUCUUUCUAUAUUUUAAUUUUAUAUUAAAAAAAUUUAUUUUAUAAUUUUAUAUUAAAUAGUAAUUCCACUCUAAAUUUCAUAAAACAAUGUUAACUAGGUGGUUUUAUAUUAUUUCUUAUCUAAAUUACUUCUUAAAUUUUGUUUAUUAUACUAAAUAUUUUAUAUUUUUAAAGUCAAUAUAAUUAUAAAAUUAAAAUAAUAGAAAAAGGAUAAGUUGGUCCUUGAACUUUCUUAUUAAAGUUAUAAUUAAUUUACAAAAUAAAUAAUAAGAAAAAUGUUUAUUUUAUUUUAAUAAUUUAAAGUCAAAUUAUAUAAAUUUUUAUAUUUUACUAAAUAAAAAUACUUUUAAAAUAUUUAAACUUUAUUAAAAUUAAAUUAUGCUAAGAAUUAAAAUAAGUAAAAAAUAUUAAUUAAUUAUUUUUAUAUAAAUGCUAAAGUUAGAUAUUGUAAAAAUACAUAUUUAUUUUGAUUGAUAUAAAUAAUUUUAUACGAGUCUGAUAGUUAAAUAUAACAAAUUACAUUGUGACAAAUGAGAACCGGCAAAAUUCGGUAUUAACGUGCUAAUAAAUUCUAUAAAAAAUAGAUGGGUUAAUCUAAGGGCUCAUGAGUUUCUGUAUUUUCAUUACCAUUUUCUUCAAUUCUGUUGAUGCUUCUACAUAUAUGAACUGGGUCCAUCUUCAAUUGUUUUUGGUUAUUCAAUUCUGUUAGUUGAUGCAAGCAAAAAAAAACUCAGCUCCCACAGGCUGAAAACUCUCUUCUUUUUCUUCGCUUGUAAUAGCAUUUGAAUUUGCUUUCCACGUUAAGAGGGAAGCACUCCAGAUUGACUUCACCUGGAUCACUUCCUGGGUUCAUCACAGGAUUAAUAAGCCCUUCACCACUGGCACUAUACUAUUGCUAGUGCUAUUGCUUGCAGAAAUCCUGGUGGAAAAAGAAAUGGUCACUCCUCAGGUGUCAGAAAGCAUUUCCAGGACAUAGAUAUUCUGAUCUGGAAAUACUAAGACCAGUAGUAACAAUAGUCAUUUUGUAUAUUAGUCCUAACUUCUAGAUAAAGGAACCGAAAUACCUACCCUGAAUUUCCAUGUUCCACAAUUUCAGCCCCAGUUGUAUGUGCUUGAAGUACUUCAGAGACGGGACUGGGUCCCUUCAGAUCAAUGUUAUCACCAUUUCCACAGGCAUCUUCCUGAACCAUGGGCUGAACUUCUGCAAAAUAGAAUCAAGAACAUGUCCGACAGUGAGUACAAUAGUGCCAAUAUUUUGCUUCUCGUCAAAUAUUUGUAACUGAAGUAAUUAAAACUAACCUGUUAAUGGACUUGAAUCUGCAGAAGGGGUCUUCAUUAACAGCUUGUGGCACAUUACAGUAUCCUGGAAAU